CAGCAGUGAAGGAGCCCAGGGAAGACAGACAACAGGUGUCAUGAAAAAGUGCCAAGAUCGUCCCAGAAGUUGUACGGAGGCUGGAUUACGGAGACUGGAAGGGCGUGUGUCAUUCAGAGAAGCUUCUUCGGGUGACCAGGAGGCAGUAACUCACAGCAGGCUCAACAGAAUCUGUACAGAAAUUGAGUAAAUGUGAGAGGAAGCAAGGAGGCGGGUGGCAACUCGUGGGUCUUGGGUUUGAGCACGAAUGUUCUUCCUGAGAUAAGAACAAGCCUCGGAAAAGAAGCAAAAAUAAAGGUUAGAAAUGGUUCUUCAGGGACAU
rnacentral:lncRNA from 1 species